rnacentral:lncRNA from 1 species
GUUUGAUUAAUGACAUAUUGGUAAGAAGUAGUAUUUUUUUUUUUCAUGAAAGUGCUCAAUUUGAGAGAUGACUUCUUGUAAACAGACUCAUCUACAGAUGAAAGUCAGACCCCUCUAUUCUACCAAGACCUCAGACCCCUAUAUUCUACCGAGAGCCAUUCUUAAUGUGGUCACUUUCAGCAUUUUGCAUUGGUUUACCAGGAAAAUGCUCUUUUCCUAUGCUAGUUUACUGUACAUUUGACCCUUGAACAGCACAGGUUUGAAUUGCACUGGUCCAAUACGUGUUUUUUUUUCAGCAGUAUCUAGGAAGGAACCAUGGAUACAGAAGACUUACUAUAAAUUACGCACAGAUUUUUGACUGCUGGGAGGGUCAACGCCUUUAAUCCCUGUGUUGUUCGAGGGUCAUCUGUAAUUAUACCUAUCAAAUUUUACGUUAUAUAUAUAUAAAUACAAUAUUCAUUUUAUAAAAAUCAAGUUGUAGUACUACAUUUUCUUAUGUUAAAUAUGUAAAUUUUACUUCAUUUUAAUGUUGAAACUAACUAUAUCAAGGAAACAAAUGAUAAUAGUUUAAUUAAAAUGUGAAGAAAGCCGUUUGAGAUAAGAAAGAUUGAAAUUGUUUUAAAAGUUUAAUUCAGAAAUAAACAGAAUAAAUGAAAAAUACAUAUUGUUUUAGGGUUUAUUAAUAUGGUUUAAAAUACGUGGACAAGAAGUGGCUGUGUAGCUGGUAUUUGGCAUUGUAACAUUAAUAUAUGUUCUUGUAUGGUUUUAGUUUCAAAACUGUGAAAAAGUAUGGAUUCUUUUAAAUGAAAAGUAAGAAACUACCAUUAAAUAUUUUAAAUGUUCUCUUUACACAACAAAAUAUAGGUAAUUGAUAACUAAAUCAUUGAUAUUUUAAAAUCUAAUGACAAUUUUCAUUGAUAUUUAGUGUAUAUGUACAUAUUUUUCAAACUGACUCAGUCUCAACUGAAUAACUGAAUAGAACAUUCUCAAAAUAUAAGUGUGAUCUUUUACAUUAGAGGAAAAUAGAAUUUGAGAUUCAGAUCUAUUAUUCUGUAAAAUAUAUUAAAAAUUUGCAAAACCAG